rnacentral:rRNA from 1 species
ACCUCUUUAGAGGUUCGUGGUAGGAGAGCGUUCUAAGGGCGGUGAAGUCAGACCGGAAGGACUGGUGGAGCGCUUAGAAGUGAGAAUGCCGGUAUGAGUAGCGAAAGAAGGGGGAGAAUCCCUUCCACCGAAUAUCUAAGGUUUCCUGAGGAAGGCUCGUCCGCUCAGGGUUAGUCGGGACCUAAGCCGAGGCCGAUAGGCGUAGGCGAUGGACAACAGGUAGAGAUUCCUGUACCAGUG